UACAGAGGGUGCAAGCGUUAAUCGGAAUUACUGGGCGUAAAGCGCACGUAGGCGGUUUUUUAAGUCAGAUGUGAAAGCCCCGGGCUCAACCUGGGAAUUGCAUUUGAAACUGGGAAACUAGAGUGUGUGAGAGGGGGGUAGAAUUCCAAGUGUAGCGGUGAAAUGCGUAGAGAUUUGGAGGAAUACCAGUGGCGAAGGCGGCCCCCUGGCCCGAUAUUGACGCUCAGGUGCGAAAGCGUGGGGAGCAAACAGG
rnacentral:rRNA from 1 species